rnacentral:misc_RNA from 1 species
AACCAUAGAAACCUGCGGAGUACCUGCGGCAGGAUCAUUACCGAGUUUACAACUCCCAAACCCCUGUGAACAUACCUAUACGUUGCCUCGGCGGAUCAGCCCGCGCCCUGUAAAAAGGGACGGCCCGCCCGAGGACCCCUAAACUCUGUUUUUAGUGGAACUUCUGAGUAAAACAAACAAAUAAAUCAAAACUUUUAACAAUGGAUCU